rnacentral:rRNA from 1 species
UACGUAGGGGGCAAGCGUUGUCCGGAAUCAUUGGGCGUAAAGAGCGUGUAGGCGGCUUGGCAAGUCUCGCGUGAAAUCCUGCGGCUCAACCGCAGGCGGUCGCGGGAAACUGCCUCGCUAGAGUCCGGAAGAGGAGAGUGGAAUUCCUGGUGUAGCGGUGAAAUGCGCAGAUAUCAGGAAGAACACCAAUGGCGAAGGCAGCUCUCUGGGACGGUACUGACACUGGAGACGCGAAAGCGAUGGGGAGCGAACAGG